rnacentral:rRNA from 1 species
AAAUGCGAUAGUAAUGUGAUUGCAGAAUUCAGUGAAUCAUCGAAUCUUUGAACGCACCUUGCGCUCCUUGGUAUUCCGAGGAGCAUGCCUGUUUGAGUGUCAUUAAUAUAUCAACCUUCUCUUUUUUGAGUUGUUUGGAUGUGGGGGUUUGCUGGCCUCUUAAAUGAUUCAGCUCCCCUGAAAUGCAUUAGCAGAACAACCUGUUCAUUGGCGUGAUAAUUAUCUAUGCUAUUGAAUGUGAGGGCAGUUCAGCUUUCUAACCGUCCUCGGACAAUUCAUCAUUAAUGUGACCUCAAAUCAGGUAGGACUACCCGCUGAACUUAAGCAUAUCAAAAAGCGGAGGAAGGNAGGGGUGGGGGG